rnacentral:lncRNA from 1 species
UGAAAUGAAUUAUGAUAAUGUCGAUAGAUUUAGGGGGCUUCCUUAAGGAAAAGGAAAAAAACCUCCACAGCAUUUUUCAAGGCAACAUUAGAAUAGAUAAGAGAUGGAAGCAGAGAUACACAAAACACUGAGUUGGAAGCGUCCCAUAAGGAUCUCUGGGUCCAAUCCCUUCAUGCAGCACUCUUGAAGGUCCGGGGCUGUGCUCCGCGGUUACAUAGGGAGCUGCCCUCACUUCAUGCUGCCGCUGGGUGAGGCAGAAAUAAGAAAUCUUGGGGGCACAGAACCGAGAGGAACCGCUUCCCCCCGCAGCACGUGGGGACCAUCACGCCUCACAGCAAAGCCGUCUAUUCGCCACUUCAGCAAAUGAGCGGCGGCGAAUCGAUAGCGGAUCAAUCCCGUUCGCGGUGUCACUCAGCGCACGGUGCCGCUGCACAAAAGCAGGAAGGUGGGAACCGAGCGCUCACUUCGCAGCGACCCGAGGCGAAGCGCACAACCUGAGCAUCCCUCCCGGUAGCAUCCCAGAUCUGCGGAGCGUGGGAGCUCGGGGACUGCCGGUAGGUGGGCUGCGGUUUGGGAGCGGCGGAACGAGCGUUUUGGGGACGGGACCCACCGGGAUGCGCUGCGAGACCCGCAUAGACGGCGGUAGCGCCGCUCCGCCCGCCCCGCCGGGAAGGUGCCGGGGAUGCCCGGAGCCGGGGUGGGGACUCGUCGGAGCCCGCCCGCCGCUUUCCCUCCCCCGGCAGCUCCUCCGGAGCGCGGCGGAGGCGGGCGGAGCGCGGCGGAGCCCCGCGGCCCCAGGUAGGCAGAGCCCAGCACGGUUCGGAUGGCUUCUCUGUGCGCUUUACGGGACGAGCGGCCGGCGUGGAGGAGAAGGAGGAGGAGGAGGAGGAGGAGGGAGGCUGCAGCUCCGUGCCGGGGAGCCCCGCUUCCAGCCGACUGACACCCGCAGCUCCCCGUCUCCCUCACGAAGAAGGCAGCCCCGGCGGUGGGCACCGCUCCGGCUCCGCGGAGGGGACGAGGUUCAAUGUAAUCUUAUUGGGCAC